rnacentral:misc_RNA from 1 species
UCCCUAUUACUAGAGCAGUCCAAGUAGAAAACAGGCAACGAGGGUUGCGUUCGUUACCCCACUGAAGGGAACAACUCAAGCCACGAACUGACGACGACCAUGCAUCACCUGCACAAAUGCCUUGCGGGGGCUAAAGUUUCCUAAAGCUUACAUUUGUGUUUCAAACCCUGGUGAGGUUCUUCGUUUGCCAUCGAAUUGAGCCGCAUGAUCCACCGCUUGUGCAAGUCCCCGUCUAUUCCUUUGAGUUUUAAUCUUGCGAUCGUACUACCCAGGCGCCUAACUUAACGCGUUUGCUUCGCCUCGAAGAGGGUCGAUACUCCUCAAAGCCAGUUAGGAUCGUUUAGGGCGUGGACUAC